rnacentral:rRNA from 1 species
UACGUAGGCAGCGAGCGUUGUUCGGAAUUACUGGGCGUAAAGAGUGUGUAGGCGGUGCUCUAAGUUCGGUGUGAAAUCUCCUGGCUCAACUGGGAGGGUGCGCCGGAAACUGGAGUGCUUGAGCGUGGGAGAGGAAAGCGGAAUUCCUGGUGUAGCGGUGAAAUGCGUAGAGAUCGACUAGAACACCGGUGGCGAAGGCGGAUCUCUGGACAGUUCCUGACGCUCAGGCACGAAAGCCAGGGGAGCAAACGGG